rnacentral:lncRNA from 1 species
GUCCAAAGAGGACUCUUGAGGCCCUCAGCUUUUGGGGGCAGGCUCUGCACUAUGGGGUGAGCUUCUACAGCACUUUUCUGUUCACAGGGUGGGUACAUCAGUCCAUCUUCAGAGAUUCUUGGGAGGUUUCUGUAGGACGAGAGGGUUUACACCUGAAGCCUGGAUUCUCAUUUUGGACUGCUCAAGGCCUUCCUGCUUGCAGAGAAGGUGCCAGCCUUGCCAGUGAGCACAGCAUGCUCCCGCAGACAUGGGGACAGCACCCCAGUGGUGACAGCACCCCAGAGGUGACACCUCCCAGCCUGGGACAGGGGCCCUGCAGCAGCCCUGGGGCCAGGAGCCAUGUGUCCUUCCUGGAGCAGCUGCCAGAGACCAUACCUAGUG